UCGUAACAAGGUCUCCGUUGGUGAACCAGCGGAGGGAUCAUUACCGAGUUUACAACUCCCAAACCCCUGUGAACAUACCACUUGUUGCCUCGGCGGAUCAGCCCGCUCCCGGUAAAACGGGACGGCCCGCCAGAGGACCCCUAAACUCUGUUUCUAUAUGUAACUUCUGAGUAAAACCAUAAAUAAAUCAAAACUUUCAACAACGGAUCUCUUGGUUCUGGCAUCGAUGAAGAACGCAGCAAAAUGCGAUAAGUAAUGUGAAUUGCAGAAUUCAGUGAAUCAUCGAAUCUUUGAACGCACAUUGCGCCCGCCAGUAUUCUGGCGGGCAUGCCUGUUCGAGCGUCAUUUCAACCCUCAAGCACAGCUUGGUGUUGGGACUCGCGUUAAUUCGCGUUCCCCAAAUUGAUUGGCGGUCACGUCGAGCUUCCAUAGCGUAGUAGUAAAACCCUCGUUACUGGUAAUCGUCGCGGCCACGCCGUUAAACCCCAACUUCUGAAUGUUGACCUCGGAUCAGGUAGGAAUACCCGCUGAACCUAAGCAUAUC
rnacentral:misc_RNA from 1 species